UAAAACAGUUUCUGUGAUUUGUUGAUCCAGAUCAAGCACACACGGGGCACAACUGGUAAGAUGGGGAGGGGAACGGGUUUUCCCACAGAGAUGGGGUGACGCCAGCAGUGACCAUGGCUGCAAACUAGCACAAAACGGAGUGACACAGGACGACAGGGACACGAAGUCUAGGUGUGAUGUUUCCUCGAGAUGGUGAGACACCAGGGCAUGCUCUGGGUCCGAUGGGCUGCGUGGCAGAGGCCAGAGAGGUGCGGCUCCAUCCCCAGCCCUCUGUUCUGCCGCCGGAGAAAAGCAGCUUGCCAGCAGAAGGGCAAGAAUGAGCCGUCUGGCCGAGGCCCUGGGCAAACACAGACUUGACUAUUUUUAGGUCUUGAAGCGAAGUAACAUUCCCACACGCUGGCUGGAGAGUGUUCCUUAAACCCUUCCUCCAACUGCUCCUCAAAAGGCGCAGGUCACGCAAAGACGAGCCAGCUCCGCGGUCCCGGGGGGAGGCGGUCAGAUGAGCCCGGCCUAUUAAGUUACAAUUGCUUUAAAUACCCUUUAACUCAUGAGCAGCUCUCAAAUAGCACAUAAAAUGGGUGGAAAAGAGCACCUGAUGGCGGCUGACGUCACGGAAGCGCAGACUGUGCCGGUUUUGCGGAGUCCGCGUGUGAAACUGCCAGGGGUGGGCGCGCGGGCACAAGCACACCAGGGCCGUCCGCAGAAGAGAAGCCCCGGGUCGUGCGGUGGGAAGGAGUGGGCAGGGAGGAGCUGGAGGGAAACCCGCAGGAAACCUGCCUUUGCUCCCUGAGACCCGCCGGGGACCUCUUUAGCCGCAGGUGGAGGGCGGGCUCCGGCACACAGCCACAAGGAGUGGUCGGUUCACCUUGGAGCUGCUCUAAUCAGAAAUGUCCCCGGAGGCGUUAGAGGAGGAGGUCGGCGGGGGCACAAAUCUGGGGUGGGGGUGGAGGGUGUUUGCUGAAGCCUAACGGGGGCAGGCGGUUUCGGGGGUUGCUGAUUAGCAACCGCGCAACAGCCAUCCUGUGCUGCGGGUCUGCCCGCCCGCACCGGUUCGCAGAAGAGCAGACAUCGGAGUCCACUCCUAGAAACGGUUCCAGCAAUCUGACCACGUCCAGUUACCGAAACACAGGGCUUGUGUUUCGUCUUCGCGUGCAUUUUCAUUGGGUUUUUCUAGAAGUGAAUUUUUGUUGUAUUUUACCCAAAAAGUGUCCUUGUGUAGCAAAGUGAGAAACGGUCUUUGAGCUCAGCGACAGGGUUGUCAAGAAGCGUGACAGAUGUCCACAGCUCUCCAGGGGCAGCUGCCGCCUCCCCCACCCCCCACCGGUGUAAUGUAGUGUGAGAUCUACCCGCGGGGGAGAAUUCUGGGCCCCGACCUAAAAGGUGAGCUUCCAGAGACCUGGGACUUCACUGACCGUGCAGGAACCUGCUCAUAAACAGUGAGCAAGUCACACGGGAGACAUUGUGCUGGUACGGGCUGUGGGGAGGCUGGAGGGGCGGGAGGGAAACUUCUGGCCCUCACCCACCUCUUAUUAGGGGGAGCUCCUAACAUCUAGUACCACCAACUCAUUCUCUGUGAGUGACCAAAGAGGCCCUAGCCUGUCCCCUCGAGCUGAGAGGCUGACUGACCCGUUGGAGAGACGGUCAGAAGGCAGAGGAAUAGACAGCGGCCGGGAAAUGUCCCACCACCAGCUCGGGGCGAGGGGAAGAAACACUGAUUUGUAGGGUUGAUGAUCACCACGGUGGGAGUGCUCCCAUUCCAAUUGCCCACGGACGUUCCCGGGAAACGACAGAGGCUGCCCACCGAGACGGGUGCUCCCCCCCGCCCCCCGCUCUCCACCGGGCAGGGCAGCAGGCGCCAGGAAGCAGAAGAGCAUACGCUCCAUGAAGACAACCUCAAAACGCAGUCAAGUACGUCAUGAUGAGUUGGCCACAGUGGGAAGCAGGAGAGUGAAAGUGAGGAAAACCACCUGAUGUAGAAAAGGAGACCUGGCUGUGGGGAUCACUGAUCGGUACCAAAAUAGUAACACAUGACAUCACCACAGGGCGGGUACCGUUGCCAAACCCUGUUCUGCCGUAAGUGCAUCGAUUCAUCUAGUCCCAGCAAUUGCUCCUAUGAAAUGGAGCCUAUUAGUAUGCCUCUUCUCAGAUGCGAGCAACCCAGGCACAGAGAGCUCGAAAAGCAGCCCAAGACACUGGUGGGGCCAAACUCAGAAGGUCCAGCUGCAGAACCUACAUUCUCACCCGGCCGGCAGGUGCACCCUGGGUGGGCUUGAGCAGCCGUGGGUUCCCUUGCCUACUUUCCUCUGAAAUGACUCAAAAUGCUUAGCCACCGCAGUGAUGUUUCCUAGUUUUCUGUUUGUUUACAAAAUGUGAAUGAUUUUCCACCCCUGUGUUUACCAUCCUCAGUCUCCACACCCCAGAGUUGCCCCAUCCCCAUCUCUCCAGCCAAGCGGGGAGAGCAACCAGACACGCCGGCCAUUCCGUCGCUGCCCAGCUGACCAAAAGCCAUUCGGGCACUGGCUUACUCCAGUGGCGAACAGACAAAAUGCAAGAAGGCACAGCCCCCGAAGCAAAUGUCACUCCACUGCACACCUGGACAGGUCGCGUGUCCCUCACGUUAAUUCUCAACAGGACUGCAAACAACUGAGAUCGCUGCGAAAGCAAUUUAACCUUUUCAUGGGCUCUAGAACUGAAUGAUCAAAUACUUGCCCCCUUGCUCCAACUCACCACACCAGCCAGAGUGCCCCGUGCGGGUCUGUGCUUCCCGCGCAAGUCCUCUCUCUGGCAGAUCCUUACCCAUCCCUUCCUUCCGAGCAUCCUCCAACUCCAGGAAGUUAACUGCUCCCCGGAAAGAUGGCAGCCUGGUUGCUGAUGAGUAAGCAGUGACUUCAGGAAGGAAGCCUCCACUUAGCUCGGCCAUGUGCGUUCCUCGUCGAGGAUGUAGAUCGUGGGGAUACCUACCUCCUGCGGCGGUUGCGGGAGCGAGGGGAGGUAAGCCAUGCAAAGCAUCUCAAGUACAGCAGCGACCGUUCUGUCCGAAGCCAGGAGGGCAGUCAUGCAAGCCACACGCCUCCCGCACCAGGGGACUCUGGGCGUUACAUUUCAGACAUUUCCUCAUUUUGCCUGCAAGCCAAGGAGAAUUAUUUUCCAACACCAGAUCCAGAAAAUGCCUCCAGCAGAACAGAGGCUCUCCUCUACGGUGUCCAGUUGCCGUGAUGGAGUUGAAAAUGUAGACACAUUUCACUUUAAAAAGACGUGGGGGUGGGGAGGGUUGGGGUUUCGCACAGACACGCAGACUUCCUCUGUGCUCAUCAGCCGGACUGCUGUGGCCAAAGGGAGGAGUCGUGCCUGCCGUGGACGGUCCUGGACCCUGCCCCGAGCAGCCGGAAGGAACACAGGACUCUACCUGAUAAGACAGGACACCUAACUAGAAGGCACGUGAGGUUCAAAGGGCUCCCAGAGGAUUCCAGCACUACAGCACGGAGGCAAAAACCAGCAGCUGGAGGAUGGAGACGCGUCCGAGAGAGGCUCUUGGUUAUAGAUAGGAGAGAUCCCAGAUAGAAGAGAGGCCACGGAGGUUCAGCAGAUCUUAGCAGAACGGGACCGAGCCCAUGGCUCCUGGCUGUCAGCUCCGGGUUCACGUGCCCAUUAACUUCAGCUGCCCUGGACGAGCAGCAGCUUUGGAAAAACAAGAGUGUGGAGGUCGGGGGGCCGGUUCAGGGGGUGACAGAGAGGAGACCGCAGCUCCCCAUACUUUUCUAACCAGAGGUGAGCCAGCCUGAGGGAGCCACCUUUGAAAUCUCAUCUUCCAAGAUUCCUUAUUUGAGAAUGAGUGAGAGCAGGAGGAAGAGGGAAAAAGAAUCUGAAGCAGACUUCACUGAGCACAGAGCCCAAUAUGGAGCUAGAUCCCACCAUGGAGAGAUCAUGAACUGAGCUGAAACCAAGAGUUGGAUGUGCAAGCGACUGAACUCAUGGGGGUUGCAUGAUACAGAGUUUACCACCGUUUGCUGCUGUGCUACGAACCAAUACCAGUACCACAAACAGCAAGGACAUCUGUGUGUAAUGUAACACGUCACACAUCUUAGUCUAUCAGCUUGCAUCUUCCUGAUCUGAUGUAUCCAGUUCUAAUGAAGUCUGGUGGUUCAUUAGAUGAAAUGAUACGCAAAAUGGCCACUGAGUCAACACAAGUGCCUGCAUUUUCUACAUUGUCAGUAAUAAAUAAAUUUUGAUCAACCACUAGAAGAUUGGUUUACCUUUGAUCUCUGUAUGAAAAAUGAUAAAAAAUUAUUUUUCCAAGAGGUGAUCAAAGAGUGUGCAGCCAAAAAAAUGUUGGGAAAAAGUACAUUAACCAGUUAACAAAAAUGUCAUUUUUCUGGAUUAUGAUGGUUUGGGUUUGAUCAGCUUUACAAAUUUUGAACUAUGUAUUGAUUCCUUACUCUGAAG